rnacentral:tRNA from 1 species
AAUGAUGAGCCUGAUUAAAGGACUAUCGUGAUAGGAUAAAACAUGUAGCUCAAACUACCUUCAUUA